rnacentral:rRNA from 1 species
UACGGGGGGUGCGAACGUUGUUCGGAAUUACUGGGCGUAAAGGGCGCGUAGGCGGCCUGUUAAGUCGGACGUGAAAUCCCUCGGCUCAACCGGGGAACUGCGUCCGAUACUGGCGGGCUUGAAUUCGGGAGAGGGAUGUGGAAUUCCAGGUGUAGCGGUGAAAUGCGUAGAUAUCUGGAGGAACACCGGUGGCGAAGGCGGCAUCCUGGACCGACAUUGACGCUGAGGCGCGAAAGCCAGGGGAGCAAACGGG